rnacentral:rRNA from 1 species
UAAGGAAUAUUUCGCAAUGGACGACAGUCUGACGCAGCGACGCCGCGUGGGGGACGAAGGUCUUCGGAUUGUAAACCCCUUUCGGGAGGGAAGAUGGAAUGGGGUAACCCAUUCGGACGGUACCUCCAGAAGCAGCCACGGCUAACUUCGUGCCAGCAGCCGCGGUAAUACGAAGGUGGCAAGCGUUGUUCGGAUUUACUGGGCGUACAGGGAGCGUAGGCGGUUCGGUAAGCCCUCUGUGAAAUCUCCAGGCUUAACCUGGAACAGUCGGAGGGGACUGCUGAGCUAGAGAAUGGGAGAGGAGCGCUGAAUUCCCGGUGUAGCGGUGAAAUGCGUAGAGGUCGGGAGAAAGGCCGGUGGCGAAGGCGGCGCUCUGGAACAUAUCUGACGCUGAGGCUCGAGAGCGUGGGGAGCAAACAGG